AGGCAGCAGUAAGGAAUAUUGGUCAAUGGACGGAAGUCUGAACCAGCCAUGCCGCGUGAAGGAUGAAGGCCCUCUGGGUUGUAAACUUCUUUUAUCUGGGACGAAAAAAGGGGAUUCUUCCUCACUUGACGGUACCAGAGGAAUAAGCACCGGCUAACUCCGUGCCAGCAGCCGCGGUAAUACGGAGGGUGCAAGCGUUAUCCGGAUUUACUGGGUUUAAAGGGUGCGUAGGUGGGUAGGAAAGUCAGUGGUGAAAUCUUCAAGCUUAACUUGGAAACUGCCAUUGAUACUAUCUAUCUUGAAUACUUUGGAGGUAAGCGGAAUAUGUCAUGUAGCGGUGAAAUGCUUAGAUAUGACAUAGAACACCAAUUGCGAAGGCAGCUUACUACACAGUUAUUGACACUGAGGCACGAAAGCGUGGGGAUCAAACAGGAUUAGAUACCCUGGUAG
rnacentral:rRNA from 1 species